rnacentral:rRNA from 1 species
CACCAGACUCCUACGGGAGGCAGCAGUGGGGAAUAUUGCACAAUGGGGGAAACCCUGAUGCAGCGACGCCGCGUGAAGGAUGAAGUAUUUCGGUAUGUAAACUUCUAUCAGCAGGGAAGAAAAUGACGGUACCUGACUAAGAAGCCCCGGCUAACUACGUGCCAGCAGCCGCGGUAAUACGUAGGGGGCAAGCGUUAUCCGGAUUUACUGGGUGUAAAGGGAGCGUAGACGGCAUAGCAAGUCUGAUGUGAAAACCCGGGGCUCAACCCCGGGACUGCAUUGGAAACUGUCAGGCUAGAGUGUCGGAGAGGCAAGUGGAAUUCCUAGUGUAGCGGUGAAAUGCGUAGAUAUCGGGAGGAACACCGGUGGCGAAGGCGGCCUGCUGGACUGCAACUGACGUUGAGGCCCGAAAGCGUGGGGAGCAAACAGGAUUAGAUACCCGAGUACG